AUGGGGGGCACUAAUAGACUGCGCUUUUAUUAUUAUUUUUGGCUGGAGCGUGCGACACGAACAACAGUGCACUUUUUACAAAGUUCAUUGCCCCAACACACAGAUCUUGCAAGAACAGGAAGAAUCGAAAUAGCAACAUCAACGGACGUGGUGCUCGGUGUCUGUGCCGACGAAGCAGGAGCGCUGGAGGAGGGCGCGCCGGAGGAGAGGGCAGGCCGCACCGGAGGGGAUAGAAGGCCGCGCCGGAGCAGAUGGAAGGUCGGAUCGUGCUGGUGGGCUGGGGUCUUGGUAGUAGUGGGCGGCGGCGCCGCCGGAUCAAGGCCGCACCUGGGCAGGUGCGGUGACGCGUAG
rnacentral:rRNA from 1 species